rnacentral:tRNA from 1 species
UCCCUGGUGGUCUAGUGGCUAAGAUGCCUUGCUCCCAGUGCAGGGGGCCCAGGUUCAAUCCCUGGUAAGGGAA